rnacentral:misc_RNA from 1 species
AUUCGCAAUGUCAAUUUACAGAUUCCCUUUGUUUUGAUCUUCCAUUUCCUCUUUUUAGAGUGCAUUCAUUCUGUUUCUGUUCUUGUUCAUCAAGUUAUAUUCUCUCCAGGAUAUGGUCUCUAUCGCUCUCCACUGUUGGGAAGGUCACCGACUCUGAAGCACAAUGUCUAGCAUCGGAUAUGAUGUAGUUUGAACUCUAUAUCACACAGAAUUGCUUUGAAGUCGGUGACCUUCCCAACAGUG